rnacentral:rRNA from 1 species
UACAGAGGUCUCAAGCGUUGUUCGGAUUCAUUGGGCGUAAAGGGUGCGUAGGUGGGCAGGUAAGUCAGUGGUGAAAUCUCUGGGCUUAACCCGGAAACUGCCAUUGAUACUAUUUGUCUUGAAUAUCGUGGAGGUCAGCGGAAUAUGUCAUGUAGCGGUGAAAUGCUUAGAUAUGACAUAGAACACCAAUUGCGAAGGCAGCUGGCUACACGAAUAUUGACACUGAUGCACAAAGCGUGGGGAUCAAACAGG